rnacentral:rRNA from 1 species
AUACGUAGGGGGCGAGCGUUGUCCGGAAUGAUUGGGCGUAAAGGGCGCGUAGGCGGCCUGUUAAGUCUGGAGUGAAAGUCCUGCUUUCAAGGUGGGAAUUGCUUUGGAUACUGCCGCGCUUGAGUGCAGGAGAGGUUAUCGGAAUUCCCGGUGUAGCGGUGAAAUGCGUAGAGAUCGGGAGGAACACCAGUGGCGAAGGCGGGUAACUGGACUGCAACUGACGCUGAGGCGCGAAAGUGUGGGGAGCAAACAGGAUUAGAUACCCUGGUAGUCCACACUGUAAACGAUGAAUGCUAGGUGUAAGAGGUAUCGACCCCUUUUGUGCCGGAGUCAACACAAUAAGCAUUCCGCCUGGGGAGUACGGCCGCAAGGUUGAAACUCAAAGGAAUUGACGGGG